UGAAUUGACGGGACCGCACAAGCAGCGGAGCGUGUGGCUUAAUUCGUUGCUACACGAAGAACCUUACCUGGGUUUGACAUAUAGGUUGUAGGGAACUGAAAAGGGACCGACCCUUCGGGGAGCCUAUACAGGUGUUGCAUGGCUGUCGUCAGCUCGUGUCGUGAGAUGUUCGGUUAAGUCCGCUAACGAGCGCAACCCUCGUCGUAUGUUAUAUGUGUCAUACGAGACUGCCGGUAAAAGCCGGAGGAAGGUGAGGAUGAUGUCAAGUCAGCAUGACCUUUAUAUCCAGGGCUACACACACGCUACAAUGGUCUGUACAAUGGGUAGCCAAGCCGCGAGGCGGAGCCAAUCCUGAAAGCAGGCCUCAGUUCAGAUUGCAGUCUGCAACUCGACUGCAUGAAGUCGGAAUCGCUAGUAAUCGUGGAUCAGAAUGUCACGGUGAAUACGUUCCCGGGUCUU
rnacentral:rRNA from 1 species